UAGGAAUGGAUAUAUCUUGAUAAGAUCUAUCCAUUUCUGUAAAAAUAUUGCUCAAAAUUUCCUUAUUGGAGAAGUAAACCGCUUCGGCAUUUUUCAGGUAGGUCGGUGCAGUUUAGCGGGUCUAAGUUAACCCUUAUCUCCCAGCAAUACGGGAAAUUUAAAUAAUUUUUUUCGGGGAAACUAUAGAGUGGUUCGAGGUUGCCAUCUUGGAUAGUUAUUUCUCCCAGUUUGGUGCAGCCUCAAACAAAAAAGCAUUGGCAAUUUUAGAUAAAUAGUGCCAGCCAACUGUCAGUUUACAGAUUGACAUAAGUAAAUUCAUUAUUAAUAAUGACAAGCGUUGUAAAUUUUACACUGGCAUCGACUCCUAUGGAAAAUUAAUUGCCUUAUUUGACUUAAUCGAACAAUCUGCUCCGAAACCACAUCCACUAGAAGUCCUAACGCAUUUGGAAAUAAAAUACUGUGGAAAGUGGCAACUACAAUUUUUUCUUUGGCUUAGUUAAGCAUAUUUAAUGUUUUAUCUAGGAAAUUUAUUGCUGCCCUCACAAACCCUACAAGUGCAUUAUUUGGAUACGAUGUUAAUGUAUUGGCAUUUGGCACGAAGGCGUGCCAUACCUGAUUGGCUGAGCUGCCUUAGCGUAGUAAUUAUGAAUUUUGAAAACAUAAAUUAUGAAUAAAAUACUGAUAAAAGCUGUAUUAGAGAGCACCUAUCAGGGAAGAGAGUAGCCAUAUUUGAACCGAUGAGGGAACCCCAGUCUCCACCUUGGACUUAAUAUUUGUCAUACCCGAGCCUUUUCAUUAACCGGUCGAAAAUAAGUCCCAUUUCUGCAGGACCUAAACCAGGUUUUCGAGCUGGGUCAGAGAACCUAUAGCCAGGCAAAGAGGGAACUACAAGUUCAAACACAAAAUCAUAUCCUUCAGUUUCCCUAGUGAGCAAGGGAAUAAUUUUUGUGAACUCUAUGAAUGAGCCUGGCCAUCCAUGAAGAAGCAGCAACGGUAAAACUUUUUUGUUUUUCAUCAAUUCUUUACUGGGCUUAGCAUGAAUGAAAUGGAUUCCUAAUUAACAGAAUAGUUCAAAUAAUUAAACAAAUCAGAAAUUCACUGAGAAUAUGAGCAACAACCGAGUCCACCAAUAUCCAAUACCUGCAUUAUUGUAACUAACUUGGCAUUGUAAACUACACCCAUUACAAAAAUUUUUCACUUUCA